GGAUGUAAUGAGCAAUGUGGUUAGCUUCAGCGGUCUGUAAAACCGUGCUCUCAGGGCCUCUAGGUUCGAUUCCUAGUACAUCCACCA
rnacentral:tRNA from 1 species